GGCUAGAGCAGGACACAGACAGGCUGGGACUUAAAUAAUCUCUUUCUCACACUCAAACACUCUUCAUAAUGUUCACACUUCACCCCGCUGGUUUUCUACUUUUAAUAACUUCAUUUAUGUAUCUGUGUUCCUCUCUUACUCCUACUUGGCCCCCUUAUAAAUAUGCAUCAAGGAGUCUUGGAUUAGGGGCAAGGAUUCUUUUCUAAGGCUCAGCAUGUGUGUGUUUGGGGCAAGAGUGUUUGCGUGAGUGCGUACUUGAGUAUGUGUGUUUGUGUCUUAAGCCAGGCAGAGCAGAACACGGCUCGCUGUAAGCCCAGGCAUGUGUGAUUUGUGUGAAUGGGUUUAGUCUGUGCUGAUAGACGACGUCUUGGACACUAGAUGACCAGAUGCUCCAUGGACAACGCAGGCUGUCCUGCUAAAAAUAUCAAGUUCAUGCCUUCACUGAGUGUCACAGAGAAUGAGCUGUUUGUGGGGAAGAUAGAAGAUUCUUGUAACUUUUCUUCUGGCCACAUCCUGUUCAAACACAUCUCUCUUCUCGUACACCAUCCUCUCACUGUCCUAGCUGCCUGCUCUUAUUCCCUCUUGCUCAACACACUCUUACACAUUUCAGUCCUUUCCCACAUACACACACCUCCCCUUAUUCUGGCCCCAUUUUUUGCUUUUAGCUCUGCCCUCCUGUUCCCUUUCUCCUCUACCUGUCUAAGAAGGACAAUCUUUUGUUUUUCCCAAACUUAUCCUACAACGUCACUGCACAAUUUCCUCACUCUCCUAAACCCUCUGUUCCCCUAAUGGGCACCGUAUCAGACAGCAGUGCCACAUUCCCUUCAUCGACACUGAGAACCUCUCUCCACCCCUAACCGCCUCGCCAACACCAAGCUUAACACGACCCAAUGGAGACAAAAGAUAUGAUGACAAUGGACAAGGGGGAGAAUGAUGUAGAGAGGGACCAAGGGAGAGAGGACGUGGGGGGAGAAGAGGAGGGAACACAGCAGGAAAAUGGUAGACUUAUGCUGGCUGAUGGUCUUGCAGAGAGAGGACCCAAGAGCCUGAACUUGGGCUCUGGCCAGCAGGUGUCCAAUGGCUUCACCACAUCCACCCCUCAGAGCCCCAGGGAGGGACCGGGGACUGCAGCUUGCUCUGGGGGUACAGCCUCUGGCCCUGGAGGUGGCACCGGCUCCUCCCUGCAGAUGGGAGGUCUCAGGACUCUGGUGGUCCAACAAACCAGCUUGGAGAGGCCCAGAGAAACCUGGAGCAAGAAGAUGGACUUCUUGCUGUCCGUGAUCGGCUACGCUGUGGACCUGGGAAAUGUCUGGCGCUUCCCCUACAUCUGCUACCAGAAUGGAGGAGGCGCCUUUUUGCUGCCCUACCUAUUGAUGGCGGUUUUUGGAGGUGUGCCCCUCUUCUACAUGGAGCUGGCUCUCGGCCAGUUCCACCGCAGUGGCUGCAUCUCCAUCUGGAAACACAUCUGCCCCAUCUUCAAAGGGAUCGGCUUUGCCAUCUGCAUCAUAGCCCUCUACAUAGCCUUCUAUUACAACACCAUCAUGGCCUGGGCCUUGUACUACCUACUAUCGUCAUUUCAGCCCACCCUGCCCUGGACCACCUGCACCAACAGCUGGAACACAGCCAGCUGUAACCGCUACAUGUCCACCGACCACAACGUGUCGUGGUCCAACUCCUCCACCUCCCCCGCUGAGGAGUUCUAUACUCGCCAGGUGUUGCAGGUCCACCUCUCCCCAGGCCUGCACCAGCUGGGCUCUGUCAGCUGGCAGCUGGCCCUCUGCCUGCUCUUCAUCUUCACCAUCGUCUAUUUCAGCAUCUGGAAAGGAGUCAAGACGUCUGGAAAGGUAGUUUGGGUGACUGCUACUUUUCCCUAUCUGGUCCUUCUGGUCUUACUCAUCCGUGGGGCCACUCUGCCAGGGGCCUGGAGGGGUGUCGUCUUCUAUCUCAAGCCUGAUUGGGAAAAACUGCUCAGCACUACAGUGUGGAUUGAUGCAGCAGCUCAGAUCUUCUUCUCUCUGGGUCCAGGGUUCGGCGUACUCCUUGCCUUUGCCAGCUACAACCCAUUUCACAACAACUGCUACAAAGAUGCGUUGGUCACCAGCUCUGUGAACUGUCUGACCAGCUUUCUGUCUGGCUUCGUCAUCUUUACCGUGCUGGGAUACAUGGCUGAGAUGAGGAAGCAGGAUGUGGAUGCUGUGGCCAAGGACGCCGGCCCCAGUCUGCUGUUCAUCAUUUACGCAGAAGCCAUAGCAAACAUGCCUGCUGCCACUUUCUUUGCCAUUAUCUUUUUCCUCAUGAUCAUCAUGUUGGGUCUGGACAGCACGUUUGCUGGGUUGGAGGGUGUCAUCACAGCUAUGCUAGAUGAGUUCCCUCAUAUCCUGGUGAAGAGGCGCGAGUGGUUUGUCUUUGGCCUGGUGUGCGUCUGCUACCUCGGGGCUCUCUCCACGCUCACAUAUGGAGGAGCGUUUGUGGUGAAGUUGUUUGAGGAGUACGCAACAGGCCCUGCAGUCAUCACUGUGGUGCUGCUGGAAGUCAUCGCUGUUUCCUGGUUCUACGGCACCAACCGUUUCUGUAAUGACGUCCAGGUGAUGCUUGGUUUCUACCCGGGUUGUUUCUGGAGGGUCUGCUGGGUGGUCAUCUGCCCCUGCUUUCUCUUGUUCAUCAUCAUCAGCUUCCUGGCCUUCCCUCCAGAGGUCAGGUUGUUCGACUACCACUAUCCGCAAUGGACCACGGUCCUGGGCUACUGCAUCGGGGUGUCCUCAUUCAUCUGUGUGCCUGCUUACAUGGUCUACCACCUGCUCAAUGCCAAGGGCACAUUCAAACAGGUACAGGUCCUUCCUUCCUUUCUUAAGUCCAUCCUCUAUAUGGUUUCCCUCAUUCUCCCCACAUGUCCCCUUGCUCUGUCAUUCUCUUUCUUACCCAUAUCAUCUCCUGACCUUGUUCUUUCAUUGACACUUCUCCAACAACAGGGAUUGCUUCGGUUCCCUUCUUUCUCGUACACUGUCAGGGUCUACCCUCCCCUGUGAACACAUGACUGGAGAUCAGGAUCAAUGGAGCAGGGAGGAGUCACAGGCCAGAGAUUAGCAAGAAAAAGCCAUGACAACUUCCAGGCCCCAUAGAUCUUACACAGGCAUACACCGUCUGUUAAAAAGCAUCACUCCAGAGCCCAGCAGCGACAACCACAGAGACUUCAUUGUCACCAACGCAG